AGCGAACGCUGGCGGCAGGCCUAACACAUGCAAGUCGAGCGCCCAGCAAUGGGAGCGGCAGACGGGUGAGUAACACGUGGGGAUCUACCCAAUGGUACGGAAUAACCCAGGGAAACUUGGAUUAAUACCGUAUGUGCCCUUCGGGGGAAAGAUUUAUCGCCAUUGGAUGAACCCGCGUCGGAUUAGCUAGUUGGUGAGGUAAAGGCUCACAAAGGCGACGAUCCGUAGCUGGUCUGAGAGGAUGAUCAGCCACACUGGGACUGAGACACGGCCCAGACUCCUACGGGAGGCAGCAGUGGGGAAUAUUGGACAAUGGGCGCAAGCCUGAUCCAGCCAUGCCGCGUGAGUGAUGAAGGCCUUAGGGUUGUAAAGCUCUUUCGCCGGUGAAGAUAAUGACGGUAACCGGAGAAGAAGUCCCGGCUAACUUCGUGCCAGCCGCCGCCGUAA
rnacentral:rRNA from 1 species